UGCCUACGGGGGGCUGCAGUGGGGAAUUUUGGACAAUGGGGGCAACCCUGAUCCAGCAAUGCCGCGUGUGUGAAGAAGGCCUUCGGGUUGUAAAGCACUUUUGGCGGGAGCGAAAGGGCCUGGGCUAAUACCCCGGGUUGAUGACGGUACCCGCAGAAUAAGCACCGGCUAACUACGUGCCAGCAGCCGCGGUAAUACGUAGGGUGCAAGCGUUAAUCGGAAUUACUGGGCGUAAAGCGAGCGCAGGCGGUUGUGUAAGACAGAUGUGAAAUCCCCGGGCUCAACCUGGGAACUGCAUUUGUGACUGCACGGCUAGAGUGCGUCAGAGGGGGGUGGAACUCCACGUGUAGCAGUGAAAUGCGUAGAGAUGUGGAAGAACACCGAUGGCGAAGGCAGCCCCCUGGGAUGACACUGACGCUCAUGCUCGAAAGCGUGGGGAGCAAACAGGAUUAGAUACCCGUGUAGUCC
rnacentral:rRNA from 1 species